rnacentral:rRNA from 1 species
GAUGAACGCUGGCGGCGUGCUUAACACAUGCAAGUCGAACGAAGCAUUUAGAACAGAUUACUUCGGUUUGAAGUUCUUUAUGACUGAGUGGCGGACGGGUGAGUAACGCGUGGGUAACCUGCCUUGUACUGGGGGAUAGCAGCUGGAAACGGCUGGUAAUACCGCAUAAGCGCACAAUGUUGCAUGACAUGGUGUGAAAAACUCCGGUGGUAUAAGAUGGACCCGCGUCUGAUUAGCUAGUUGGUGAGAUAACAGCCCACCAAGGCGACGAUCAGUAGCCGACCUGAGAGGGUGACCGGCCACAUUGGGACUGAGACACGGCCCAGACUCCUACGGGAGGCAGCAGUGGGGAAUAUUGCACAAUGGAGGAAACUCUGAUGCAGCGACGCCGCGUGAGUGAAGAAGUAAUUCGUUAUGUAAAGCUCUAUCAGCAGGGAAGAUAGUGAUGGUACCUGACUAAGAAGCUCCGGCUAAAUACGUG